rnacentral:lncRNA from 1 species
GUGACAGCCAUCCCGGAGGGAGAGGAAGGCACAAAGCUGCCUGGUACAUGCGGGAGGCAAGAGGCUUGGGGCAGAGAGCACCGCACCACCGAGGCUGGGCCCAGGGGCUGGCUCCGCUCCCUCCAGAGGUGAGCAGGGGGAGCCGGUGCAGAGGACCUGGGGGCAAGAUGGCAGUGGGGUCCAGAUGCUGCAGGAUCCCAUGGGAGCCAGGUGGAACAUCAGGCAGGUGGGGCAGUGGCUGGGGCUGAGCUGGUGGCCACAGGGAGAGAUGGGUAUGCUGCAUGUGGGGAGUUGGGUCUGAGUGGGCAGAGGCUGUGGUGCCCAGGCAUAGGGUGGCUCUCAGGGACUGCCACCCAAACCAUGGCCUGAGAUGGUGGUCGAGCCGGGGUUGGACCCUGGGAGCUAGGGUGGGCGAAACCCAGGAGCCCCGAAGCAGGCCCAGGGCCAGGGUGGGUGCAGAGGCUGGGCUGCCGCUGGGUGCUGCUGCUGCCCGCGGCAGGUUGAGUAAUGGCUCUGAGUCACACCUGUGCGUGGGCCGACGCCACCUGUCCUGGAGCUGCAGCAGAGAUCAAACUAGGUGAUGUAUUUAUGGCUCUUGACACAGCCUGGCACGGAGUAAAUGGUCAUAAGGGACGGUUUUGUCCUGCGUCUGCAGUGGGCCUCCAGCUGUGCUAGCGAGUUGUGGCCAGGUCCCAGCUGUGUGCAACCAGGAUCAGGCCCGGAAUGUGACUGAGAUGAAGGCUCAGCACGUGACUUGAGUUCAGGGAUCAGGGUGUGACCUGGGGAAGCUCAGGAUAUGACAGAGUUCAGGGUUUAGUAUGUAGCUGGAGUUGGGUCAGCCUUGUGAGCAAUAGGGAGCCACAGAUGGUGUGGGAGCCACAACAGGGAAGAUGUCACUGCAGGGUGGAAGUCAGUCUCAGGGACGCGAGGCGUAUAGAGGACUUGGGAGAAGAUGAGGGGCAGGGAGCUCAUGUGGUGGAAACGGCAGUAACCAAGCACACAAGAAGAGCCAUGGGCAUUUGGGGUGACCAGGACCCUGGAGAGGUCAAAGGUGGUGAUGGGGUGGACCCAGGAGGUGGGUUCAGACGCAGUGUUCAGGGAGGGCCUCUGUGAGGAGGUGACUUCGCUGAGAAGGGCCAGCCACGUGAAGGUCAGGGGAAGAGCACGAGGCAGCAGAGCAGCCUGUGCAAAGGCCCCAGGGCAGUGCUGAGCCUGGCGGAGGAGCUGGCCUCCAGUGGGGGGCCUGGUAGUGUGCCUGCUCUGUGGGAGUUGGGGCCAGUCCCUCAGCCGUGAGGUCUCAGCCGGCCCUCCUGAUGAGGCUGGAGGUCCCCAGCACCCUUGGUCCUGGGGCUGUGGCCUCUCCCUGUGCCAUAGCACCCAGCGCUGGGCAAGGCUGUCAGGAGUGACCGAUGCUGGGCGGGGAGGGGCAGGUG